rnacentral:lncRNA from 1 species
CUCUGUUUUAUAUUGCGUUAAUCUCAGCUGUUAUUUGGGCAUUAAAUUUACUACCUGCUAAAAAUUCUUGGUACAAUUGUUUAAUAGUCAUUUCUGAGCUGUCCUCUGUUAAAGCGUCCGAGUUCAGCUGUGGGUUUCUCCAUAUCCCCAAGUGAUUAAUGUUCUGCCAUUUCAAUGUUCUUGUCCUUGUUGUCCCACAAUUCCUGCCAUUUCACUGAUAUGUGUUUAAAUGAUUCUCAAUUCACAGUUUGAUAUCUCAAAUCACAGCUUUUAUGUGUGACCCAAGAC